GAUUUCUGAUGAACCGGAGUGGCCCGUUCUCUUUCUGGGAAUGAGUGCCGCUUUGAGUUUGUCAUCCUUCCAGAAAGCUGCGUCUACCGUUUACUCGGCCGGAUGUAUGCGAUCUGGAUCUAUUACUUUGAAAAAAUUAGAGUGUUUAAAGCAGGCUUGCGCUAUGAAUACAUUAGCAUGGAAUAAUAAUUUAGGACUUUGGUCUUAUUUUGUUGGUUUCUAGGACUAAAGUAAUGAUUGAUAGGGACAGUUGGGGGUGCUAGUAUUCAGCGGCCAGAGGUGAAAUUCUUGGAUUCGCUGAAGACUAACUUAUGCGAAAGCAUU
rnacentral:rRNA from 1 species